UACGGAGGGAGCUAGCGUUGUUCGGAAUUACUGGGCGUAAAGCGCACGUAGGCGGCUAUUCAAGUCAGAGGUGAAAGCCCGGGGCUCAACCCCGGAACGGCCUUUGAAACUAGAUAGCUAGAAUCUUGGAGAGGCGAGUGGAAUUCCGAGUGUAGAGGUGAAAUUCGUAGAUAUUCGGAAGAACACCAGUGGCGAAGGCGACUCGCUGGACAAGUAUUGACGCUGAGGUGCGAAAGCGUGGGGAGCAAACAGG
rnacentral:rRNA from 1 species